rnacentral:lncRNA from 1 species
AUGAGAUUUGCUUUUCUUCUUCUUCCGUUCUGGGGGAUGUGUCACUCUGCAGGAGCACAUGUGUGUGUCUGCUUGGAUCACAGCAACAUUUUACUGCAGAAGAUGGAGGGCUUGCCACAGCCAUCUGGAAUAUUGCUGGCUCCAGUGCUUCCAGGGGAAAAACAUGGACAAAAUGGAUUUUCCUCUGCCUGCUGGCAGAUGUCCAGGCUUUAUCCUUCAUUCAUCCCUGAGCCUGCUCUGCCCUCUCCCUGUGUCACUGAGUCCAGGGAUGCUCUGACCCAAGGCGCGACAUGGGACCGGCACGGUGAUGCCUUUGGCUGGGAAUCAGCUGCUGUCCCUGCAGCUCUGGGGGCUCCACCUCGGGGGUUUUCAUCUGCCAAGGCUCUGUGGAGAGAGCAGUGCCUAAAAUUAGACUAAACUCCGUGUCCUGCAGAGCUGGGGCUGUGCAAAGUGUGUGAAACCCUCCCUUCCCCAUUGCUCUUCCUGCUGUCUGCUUCAAAAUGGCAAGUGACUGUUCCAGCUGUGAG